GACGAACGCUGGCGGCGUGCUUAACACAUGCAAGUCGAACGGAAAGGCCCUGCUUUUGUGGGGUGCUCGAGUGGCGAACGGGUGAGUCACACGUGAGUAACCUGCCCUUGACUUUGGGAUAACUUCAGGAAACUGGGGCUAACACCGGAUAGGCGCUCCUGCUGCAUGGUGGGCGUUGGAAUGUUUCGGCGGUUGGGGCUGGACCCGCGGCUUAUCGGCUUGUUGGUGGGGUAGUGGCUGACCAAGGCUUUGACGGGUUGCCGGCCUGAGAGGGUGACCCGCCACAAUGGGACUGAGAGACGGCCCAGACUCCUACGGGAGACAACAGGGGGGAAUAUUGCACAAUGAGCGGGAGCCUGAUGCAGCAACGCCGCGGUCGGGAUGACGGCCUGCGGGUUGUAAACCGCUUUCGUCUGAGACGAAGCGGUAGUGACGGUAAUGGAUAAAUAAGCACCGGCUAACUACGUG
rnacentral:rRNA from 1 species